GCCAUGCCGCGUGCGGGAAGAAGGCCUUCGGGUUGUAAACCGCUUUUGUCAGGGAAGAAAAGGUUCUGGAUAAUACCCGGGACUCAUGACGGUACCUGAAGAAUAAGCACCGGCUAACUACGUGCCAGCAGCCGCGGUAAUACGUAGGGUGCAAGCGUUAAUCGGAAUUACUGGGCGUAAAGCGUGCGCAGGCGGUUAUGCAAGACAGAGGUGAAAUCCCCGGGCUCAACCUGGGAACUGCCUUUGUGACUGCAUAGCUAGAGUACGGUAGAGGGGGAUGGAAUUCCGCGUGUAGCAGUGAAAUGCGUAGAUAUGCGGAGGAACACCGAUGGCGAAGGCAAUCCCCUGGACCUGUACUGACGCUCAUGCACGAAAGCGUGGGGAGCAAACAGGAUUAGAUACCCUGGUAGUCCACGCCCUAAACGAUGUCAACUGGUUGUUGGGAGGNUUUCUUCUCAGUAACGAAGCUAACGCG
rnacentral:rRNA from 1 species